UUUCAGAAUGAUAAGCAUACGAAGCAAUCCAAUCAAUGGCUGAAGGACAUACUUGAUCAGCAUAACACUCCCGCAGCGCUUAGUGAUAGGUGCUCGGCUGCCUUCUGCUCCUCCCCCGCAAAAAAGAUCUUUGAAGGCUGAACUUAGUUGGCGUGGAUUUUAAUUCCAGGUUGGCCCUUGAAAUAAGGUAGGAUCUGUGGCCUGUGGGACAAGAAAUAUCAUGUAAUUGAUGGACAAAACUCAAACAAGUAUUAAUUUUAGUGGGACAAAUGAAGAAAGGUUGGACGAUUUUUUAGUUAAGGGUUGUGAAUGUGGGAUAUCUUUGUUUCAUCUUGGUCUGAGAAGGCCCAAGGUGUCGACGCCGGUGGCCGGAGACAUGGGCGGCUCCGGGAAGUGGAAACAGGACGACCAAGUAAUUACUCCAAUCCAUUCCUCGACCCAAUUCCCAAUCUUGAAUGGCUUCGUGGUUUGCGCUUGUGGAACUGGAUUGCAUGCAUUUCAAGGUGGAUGGUGGUGGUGGGAGUAGAAAGAGUAGGAAGCGGAAGCUAUGGAGGAGCCCCUCAGGGUCGAGGAGUAGAAGCCACCGGUAGGCGUCGGAGGCUUCCGACGCUUCCCCAUCGGCCGAUGCCUUCAGUGCCGCGGUGGCGACGGUCGUCCGGGCGCUGCCAAAGGAUUUCGAGGUAGUGAGGCGGGGGUGGAUUCUUGGUAUUAUGGCUGUCUACUUUGAUUCUUCUUACUUACAUAUGCUUGAUUGAGCCUUUGUGAUGCCUCUAUUUCCUCAUCUAUUUUUUUUCUUUUUUGCUCAUUAAUAUGUAGUUGAUCCGGACGACAUUUUACCCGAGGCUUAUCUUCUUCUACUUCUUCCUCUUCUCCUCCUUUUCGGUGAAUAAACCUCAAGUCUAUUUAGACGAGAAUUUCUUUUUUUUCCUUUUGAUUUAAUUGCGCUGUCUGUGUUUGUCAUAUAACUUGAAACAAUUUCUUUUGUGCUUUUAUUCUAUGUAUUUGAUAAAAACGGCUGUAUAUCCAAGUAUUAUCUUUUUCCGUUUCUUCUUUAUAUUCGCCAUAUUUGUGAAAAAACUUUUUCUUCUGAAUUUAACAAAAAUGGUUUUAGUCCUCAUUUUUCACACCUGCUUGCUGUUUCCUGACAGAACAUGAAGAUUUCUCUGUUUCUUUUUCCUUCAAUAUUUGUCCUUUAGAUUUGUAGCUUGAGGUUAAAAUUUAGUAUGCUAUCCUUGCCCUUCAUUCACACCCCCACCUCCACUUCUCUUUCUUUAAACUUCGAACCUGUAGGCUAGAAGAGCUCUAAGAGCUUUGAAAGGAAAGGAGUUGUAAGGCUUCAAGCACUGGUGAGAGGUUGCCAGGUGAGGAAGCAGGAGGUAGUAGUGUGAGGAUCCGUGCGGAUGUGUGUUUAGUCCCACAUCGGCUAUGCACAGGUAGAUCUUGGGUACUCGUAUGCAGGCUUUUGUCUGAGUGCAGGCCUACAUCUGCGCAUGGCAUGUGCGGUUGUCUGCUGAGGACCGGGGUGUGCAGAAGAUGCUUGAGAGCCAUCGCAACCAAAUGGAAAGAAUGAAGGAUGAUGAUAAUCAAGGCACACUGGAUGAAGUUAGGGCAAAGUUACAGCUGAGGCAAGAGAGAGCUACAAAGAGAGAACGAGCUAUUGCUUAUUCUUUUUCUCAGCAGGUAAGUUAUCAAAAAUUUGAUCUACAGUUCAUAGCAUUAUUGUCUUAACCAUUCCAUUUAGACUGGCUGGAACCCUUAUUUUGACUAUUUCUCUCAGCAAUGGAGGCCAACUUGAAUGCAAGGUCUAACUCAUCUGUGACCUCUCUCAAGCUUCAUGAGGUCGAUAAGAGCAACUUGGGUUGGAGCUGGUUAGCAUGGUCGAUGGCAGCUAAGCCUUGGGAGAAUAGGCAAAGGAACAAGCUCAGACUGAUCCUUCUGAGGCCAGAUGUCCUAAAGCUGUGAAAAAUCCUGUGGAGCAUGUUCAGAGUAUUCAGAUUCUAGCUUGGUAAAAAUCAGAAAAAAUGAUGUCACUACAAGGGUUUCAGUGAUUCCUCCAUCAGUGCUUAACAACCAUUGUGAAGCUCAAAAUCUGCCUCCUCUUCUGAAUUCCAGUAUGAUGAGAGUUCUCUUCCAUCAUCUUCCAUCUGUAAGUAUACCCUGAUAGCUGGAACUGCCCUUUUAGUGUCAGAAAGAAUGGAGAGUGGUAAAAGUAGGCCCAAAUUUUGGUGCAGCGGAUGGGAUGGAGAAGGAUGAAGGAUGGUGAAUGGCGUGGCACUCUUUUUUUUUUCUUUUCUCUUCUUCCUUUUUCUGUCUUUGGAUGUGUAUGUGGAUGGAAGGGAAGGGGAUGCUGAACGUGAGAGAAUGAGGGAGGUGUUGUGAUGGUGUGCUAGAUUGGGUGUGGCCGAAUGUGGAUUGGGUGUGGCUUAAUUAGAUUGGGUUGCAAUUAGGAUUGAUGUGGCUUGACUAAACUAGAUGAGGCGUGGCUAGAUUGAAGAGUCCUAAUGGGACUCAAACUCUCUAAUAUGUGGCGUGGGAAGGGAAUGUGGACACGGGAAUGAGGAAAUAGUAGGAUGCUGUGAGGAAUGGGAAGAGUCCUACUUCACUAGGACUCUCAAAUAAGGUGGCAUGGGAAGACUAGGAUAACUAAGAGGAUGGGUGGAAGAGUCUCACUUCCACUCAAACUCUUCAAAGGGUUGGGUGUGAGAAUGGGUGAAGAGUCCCACUUCACUCGAACUCUUCCCAAAGGUUGGCAUCUCACCAAGGAAAAAAGGGAGUGUCGCACUCCAAGGAAAAUAAGAGAAUCACUCAGAAAUUUUCAACUCUAAUCUUUCUUAAAACUUCAUACACCAUCUCUCUAUAUAGUGUGAGGAGGUUGGAGACAAACCAAACAACCAGCUCCUAUCCGCUGGAAAUUAGAAGUUUGAAAUAAUUCAAAUUUCUUUAUAUAAGUACUCGAUAACACUAAUCUUUUUUUUUUGCUUUGGAUAACACUAAUCUUUGAGAGAGUCUCAAACAAAGUAAAACAGAAGGACUCUUAGCUUGCACACGCCCAUGAAGGAGCUUCACGCAUGCCUUGAAUGAGUCUUCACACACACCUGAAUUUUAAACAAAAGGACAAGCAAACGACUAAGCAAAACAAUCAAGGACUCUGUCAAAACAAUUCAAUCAUCUGACACAAUCAACUAAAAAUCAACUAAGACUCCCAAAUCAACUAGAACUCUUCAAACAACUCAUGGACUCAAUGUACUUGACGAUUGGACUCAUGGACUCAAUGCAUCUUGACGACUGGACUCAUGGACUCAAUGUAUCUUGAUGAUUGGACUCAUGGACUCAAUGUAGCUUGGCGUUUGAACUCAUGGACCCAAUGUAGCUUGACGUUUGGACUCAUGGACCCAAUGUAGCUUGGGCACGCCCAAGAGAGGACCCAAACUCCAUGCACGCCCCAUGCUUGGGCUCAUGCGUGUUGCAUCACCCAACUAUGUGAAAUUGACAGAGCCGAUCAAGGCAAAACAGAAAGUCAGCAAUACUCAUAGAAUACCUGCACAGAGACAAUACCAAGGGAUCUUCAGUAUUAUAUUAGGGUGGCUUUCUCUACCAUAGACUCAAAGAGUAAUGCUGGUUCGGACUCAGUUUCAUCUUUUAACACAUGAAAAGCUAGGUCUUGGAAGGGGAAGAGCAUGACAAGAAGAAUGGACACGGAGAAUAAUUUCUAUGUUUAGAGAUCAGCUUCUUUGUGCUGAGUGUUUCAUGUCUCUGCUUGGUCUCUUGGAACUUUGAGGUCAUGUGUUCUUGGUAUCUAUUUUUGGUGCCCGACAUCUUGUUGUUGUGUCAUUAUUUAUAUAAUGUAUCCAGAGAUCUUUGCUGAUUUUUACUUA